GCUACCUCCGUCAUUACAUCUGUCGCCAGCAACAGAUUGGGACAGAGUCUGGCAUGGGACUUUGUCAGGGAACAGUGGGAAUACAUGUUCACACAAUAUGGGGUUGGCUCUUUCUCCUUUGCCUCUAUGAUAAGUGGGGUCACUGCAAGGUUCUCUACACCUGCUGAACUACAACAGCUGGUGGAGUUUAAG